rnacentral:ribozyme from 1 species
UUUUUUUUUUUUUUUUUUUUUUUUUUUUUGAUGU